UACGUAGGGCGCGAGCGUUGUCCGGAAUUAUUGGGCGUAAAGAGCUCGUAGGCGGCCUGUUGCGUCCGCUGUGAAAUCCCGAGGCUCAACCUCGGGCCUGCAGUGGGUACGGGCAGACUAGAGUGCGGUAGGGGAGAUUGGAAUUCCUGGUGUAGCGGUGGAAUGCGCAGAUAUCAGGAGGAACACCAAUGGCGAAGGCAGAUCUCUGGGCCGUAACUGACGCUGAGGAGCGAAAGCAUGGGGAGCGAACAGG
rnacentral:rRNA from 1 species